rnacentral:lncRNA from 1 species
AGAUGUUGAAAGAAAUACUAGAUUCUUUAUCGAAACCUCAAUAUUUUUUCCUUCACCAUUCUCAUUUCUUUCUCUUCUUCUCUGACUAGACUAUUAUCUCUCUCUCUCUCUCUCACACACUAAAUCUUUGAAAAGUGAAAGAAUUGAAGUGUGGAGACGAAGGGAAGAGGAAGGGCAAUUUAUAGAGUUUUCGAGCCGUCGAAUUCGUGCUAAGUGAUAAAAUUUGGUGAAGAAAGAUAAAAAAAUGCUCAGUACGAAAAAUGAGAGAGGAGGGCCUCCUCUACCGGCAGCGGCGGUGUAUCGACUGAGACAGCGGCGGUGCACAGCCCAAGGUGGCAGUGCCCCGGUCGACGCAUGCAGGGCUUUGGUGCGCUGGGCAUAGCGCAAGCAGGCUUUCUACACACAGGCCCCAGGUGCACAGGGCCUGUCCGCGCGAGGUGAUGCAUGGAUGGCCCACCUGCGCGCGACAAGACGCGCGCAAGUCCUAACCCCGCGCCGUGCGCGCUGUGUGCACGUCCUGUGCGUAGGUGCGCGCCGAAGGGACGU